UACGUAGGGUGCAAGUGUUGUCCGGAAUUAUUGGGCGUAAAGAGCUUGUAGGCGGUCUGUCGCGUCGGCUGUGAAAACCCGGAGCUCAACUCCGGGCCUGCAGUCGAUACGGGCAGACUGGAGUUCGGCAGGGGAGACUGGAAUUCCUGGUGUAGCGGUGAAAUGCGCAGAUAUCAGGAGGAACACCGGUGGCGAAGGCGGGUCUCUGGGCCGAUACUGACGCUGAGGAGCGAAAGCGUGGGGAGCGAACAGG
rnacentral:rRNA from 1 species